rfam:Daucus carota subsp. sativus cultivar DH1 chromosome 2, whole genome shotgun sequence.
GGCUUACACUUGAUCUCUGAAAUUCAGGUAAGUCCUGUUGACAACAUAACUUGCUGAUGCC